UACGGAGGGGACUAGCGUUGUUCGGAAUUACUGGGCGUAAAGCGCACGUAGGCGGAUUGGAAAGUUGGGGGUGAAAUCCCGGGGCUCAACCCCGGAACUGCCUUCAAAACUCCCAGUCUAGAGAUCGAGAGAGGUGAGUGGAAUUCCGAGUGUAGAGGUGAAAUUCGUAGAUAUUCGGAGGAACACCAGUGGCGAAGGCGGCUCACUGGCUCGAUACUGACGCUGAGGUGCGAAAGCGUGGGGAGCAAACAGG
rnacentral:rRNA from 1 species